rnacentral:tRNA from 1 species
AAAAUCCUAGCUUAAUUAAAGCGUCUGAGUUGCAUUUAGGAGAUGCAGGGUAAUGUCCUGCGGAUUUUA